CGCGGCCUAUCAGCUUGUUGGUGGGGUAAUGGCCUACCAAGGCGACGACGGGUAGCCGACCUGAGAGGGUGACCGGCCACACUGGGACUGAGACACGGCCCAGACUCCUACGGGAGGCAGCAGUGGGGAAUAUUGCACAAUGGGCGAAAGCCUGAUGCAGCGACGCCGCGUGAGGGAUGAAGGCCUUCGGGUUGUAAACCUCUUUCAGCAGGGACGAAGCGCAAGUGACGGUACCUGCAGAAGAAGCACCGGCUAACUACGUGCCAGCAGCCGCGGUAAUACGUAGGGUGCGAGCGUUGUCCGGAAUUACUGGGCGUAAAGAGUUCGUAGGCGGUUUGUCGCGUCGUUUGUGAAAUCCCGGGGCUCAACUUCGGGCUUGCAGGCGAUACGGGCAGACUUGAGUGUUUCAGGGGAGACUGGAAUUCCUGGUGUAGCGGUGAAAUGCGCAGAUAUCAGGAGGAACACCGGUGGCGAAGGCGGGUCUCUGGGAAACAACUGACGCUGAGGAACGAAAGCGUGGGUAGCAAACAGGAUUAGAUACCCUGGUAGUCCACGCCGUAAACGGUGGGCGCUAGGUGUGGGUUCCUUCCACGGAAUCUGUGCCGUAGCUAACGCAUUAAGCGCCCCGCCUGGGGAG
rnacentral:rRNA from 1 species